rnacentral:rRNA from 1 species
GAGGAGCCCGCGGCGGAUUAGCUUGUUGGUGGGGUAACGGCCUACCAAGGCGACGAUCCGUAGCUGGUCUGAGAGGACGAUCAGUCACACUGGGACUGAGACACGGCCCAGACUCCUACGGGAGGCAGCAGUGGGGAAUCUUGCGCAAUGGGCGAAAGCCUGACGCAGCGACGCCGCGUGAGGGAAGAAGGCCUUCGGGUUGUAAACCUCUUUCAGGAGGGACGAAGCCACUCGGGUUAAUAGCCCAGAGGGUGACGGUACCUCCAGAAGAAGCCCCGGCUAACUACGUGCCAGCAGCCGCGGUAAUACGUAGGGGGCAAGCGUUGUCCGGAUUUAUUGGGCGUAAAGAGCGUGUAGGCGGCCAGGUAGGUCCGUUGUGAAAACUCGAGGCUCAACCUCGAGACGUCGAUGGAAACCAUCUGGCUAGAGUCCGGAAGAGGAGAGUGGAAUUCCUGGUGUAGCGGUGAAAUGCGCAGAUAUCAGGAAGAACACCCGUGGCGAAGGCGGCUCUCUGGGACGGUACUGACGCUGAGACGCGAAAGCGUGGGGAGCGAACAGGAUUAGAUACCCUGGUAGUCCACGCCGUAAACGAUGGGUGCUAGGUGU